CCUACGGGUGGCAGCAGUAGGGAAUCUUCCACAAUGGGCGCAAGCCUGAUGCAGCCACACCGCGUGAGUGAAGAAGGCUUUCUGCUCGUAAAGCUCUGUUGUUGGAGAAGAACGUGCGUGAUAGUAACUGUUCACGCAGUGACGGUAUCAAACCAGAAAGUCACGGCUACCUACGUGCUAGCAGCCGCGUUAAUACGUAGGUUGCAAGCGUUAGCCGUAUUUAUUGGGCGUAAAGCGAGCGCAGGCGGUUGCUUAGGUCUGAUGUGAAAGCCUGCGGCUUAACCGAAGAAGUGCAUCGGAAACCGGGCGACUUGAGUGCAGAAGAGGGGAGUGGAACUCCAUGUGUAGCGGUGGAAUGCGUAGAGAUAUGGAAGAACACCAGUGGCGAAGGCGGCUGUCUGGUC
rnacentral:rRNA from 1 species